CUCUUCCCCACCCUCACCCCGCGGCCUUGGCCGGGAUAAGUCGGGAGGAAGCGGGGAGGGGGAGGGGAGGUGAAAAAGUGCCGGCUCCGGCGGAGGGGUCCGGAGUCGCGGAGGAGUGAGGAGGCACGGGGAGCUCUGCGCGAGGGAGGGGGGUGAGCGGGAAAACGCGGCGCGGAGCCGGGAACAGCGCCCCCUCCCCCUCCCGUGGCGGGGGGGGGUCUCUGAGGGGGCGGCCGGCAGCCCGCCGCCUCACGGCUCCCCUCGCCGGGGCGAACGGCAAAGUUCCGGGAAACUUUCCCCGGGUUUAGGGUGAGGGUCUGGGGUCGUGCUUAAAUACCCCCCACCACCACCACCCUCGACGCGGUGUCUUCCUGGCAGCAUUGGGCUGCCAUCUACAAAGUGCUGAUGAUCCCCCAUGAACUGCUGAGUCAUCAAAGAACAUAUGUCUUUCACAGGACCAGGCCCGCCUUUUAGAGGUCCCCGAUGGCGAGGCGAUUUUAUGAAAUACUCCAGAAGAAAGUCACGAAGGUGAAAUUGCGGCGACCCAGCCGUGACUGCGGAUGGUCCCCCCGUCCCCCCCACCCCGGCCAUCCCGCCCCUCUUCCACGACCCCGGACCGAAGCCGCCGAUAAGGUCGGUGAAGCCCGGUGGCGGGGGGCUCGCACCCCGGGCCGGGCCGGGCCGGGCCGGCAGCCGUUCGUCGGGGGCUCCUCCGGUCAGCCCCCGCCGGUCCUGGGAUAUUUUCAGAGCUCAGCCUGUCGGGCAACCGGGCGCCUUUGAAAAUCUGGCGCUAGAUGUCUUCGGCACCUGGAGAUCGCGCACAUGACUCCGUAAUUGUGCACCCUGCGGAGUAGCAUUGUGUUUAGCCACACGUUAAAACAGCCGCUUCAGAGCGAGUUCCGAUGGCUGGGGUGUGACUCCUCAUUACAAAGCGCAGAAUAACGCUUUUCAGCCAAUUGCCCUUCCCUGGUGGGUGUCCCCCCCCCUUCCAUUUUUGGUUGCUGUUUGAUUUUUCCCGACCCCGAAGCCGGCGGUUCCGUGCCGCAUCUGCCCUGCGCUCUCAGCUCAGGGCUGUUGAACUUCACUCCCCGAGCAGCCGCAGAGGUCGCUUCUGAGCAGCACGAAAAGGGUUGUUUUU